AUUGAACGCUGGCGGCAGGCCUAACACAUGCAAGUCGAACGGCAGCACAGAAGAGCUUGCUCUUUGGGUGGCGAGUGGCGGACGGGUGAGUAAUGUCUGGGAAACUGCCCGAUGGAGGGGGAUAACUACUGGAAACGGUAGCUAAUACCGCAUAACGUCGCGAGACCAAAGUGGGGGACCUUCGGGCCUCACACCAUCCGAUGUGCCCAGAUGGGAUUAGCUAGUAGGGGGGGUAAUGGCCCACCAAGGCGACGAUCGGUAGCUGGUAUGAGAGGAUGAGCAGCCACACUGGAACUGAGACACGGUCCAGCAUCCUACGGGAGGCAGCAGUGGGGAAUAUUGGACAAUGGGCGCAAGCCUGAUCCAGCCAUGCCGCGGGUGUGAAGAAGGCCUUCGGGUUGUAAAGCACUUUUGUUGGGAAAGAAAUCCUGUCGGUUAAUACCCGGCGGGGAUGACGGUACCCAAAGAAUAAGCACCGGCUAACUUCGUGCCAGCCGCCGCAGUAA
rnacentral:rRNA from 1 species